rnacentral:rRNA from 1 species
GAUCAACGCUGGCGGCGUGCAUAACACAUGCAAGUCGAACGAUGAAGCUUAAAAGAUUUCUUCGGAAUGAACUUAAUUGGAUUAGUGGCGGACGGGUGAGUAACGCGUGAGUAACCUGCCUUGUACAAGGGGAUAGCCGUUGGAAACGACGAAUAAUACCCUAUGACAUCAAAUAAUCGCAUGAUAAUUUGAUCAAAGAUUUAUCGGUAUAAGAUGGACUCGCGUCUGAUUAGCUAGUUGGUAGAGUAAAAGCCUACCAAGGCAACGAUCAGUAGCCGGCUUGAGAGAGUGUACGGCCACAUUGGGACUGAGACACGGCCCAGACUCCUACGGGAGGCAGCAGUGGGGAAUUUUGCACAAUGGGGGAAACCCUGAUGCAGCGACGCCGCGUGAUUUAGAAGGCCUUCGGGUUGUAAAAAUCUUUUGUAUGGGAAGAAAAUGACAGUACCAUACGAAUAAGGACCGGCUAAUUACGUG